ensembl:lncRNA
GUUUCAGAUUUAUAACAUUUUAAGUGAAAUAUUAAAUACAUUGAAAUCAUGUCAAAUUUCGCCGACCAGUUCAUUAGUUAUUAUGAAAAUCUUAAUGUUAAUAUCGUCUCUCUUUCAACCUUACUUACAACAUGACACAUUUAUCAAUAAAUUGACGUUUUUUGGCACGUUGAUGUUUCACGGUUGAACAGACGUAAGUAGACCACGGUAUCCAUCACAGAUUUACUGAUGCAGAAAUGGAGAAGACGUGCGCAGUAUAUUUUAUAACUAAUUAUAGAAACUUAUGAGGAGGUGAAGCAUAUAAGGGAAUACGGCAGCUGUAAUUAAACAGAAAAAGCCUGGCAGACAAUCGCGAUCCGACUGAAUGCGGAAGGAUUUUGAAUUGCUUUUAAUGAUUGUUUUAUGCAGGGGUCUUCAACGUUUUUCAGGCCAAGGACCCCCAAACUGAUGGAGCAGGGACCCCCUAUUCUACAGAGUUUCGUCCGCCAUCUUUUAUUUUUGAGCUUUGCGCUUUUACGUGAGCAUGAACGUGAUCUGAUUGGCUGGUGCCUGUGCUGUCGUAUCAGCAUGAAAGGAGCUUUGAAUGAACCGGUGCCCAGCUUCUCCAUUAAUUUAUCCAUUCGCUACAAUAUGUUGGAUUUAUGUUAAUGUGUAACAAUAAAGACAAUAAAUACAAUUCUGAUUCUGAAGACAUUUAAAUUUGUAGAAAAAAAAUUGUCUCAUCAACCAAAAAUUUCGCGACCCCCCUGCAGUACCUCCGCGGACCCCCUGUUGAAGACCUCUGGUUUUAUGUGUUGGUUUAUUGCUGUGUUUGUGUGCUAAAUGUGCUGGUUUUACUGUAAAGUGUCUUUGAGUAGCCUAACAUGUAAACCACUAUACACAUAAAAUGUAUUAUUAUUUUGCCUACUUUGCCUUAAAAGUGAGCAGAGGGAAUUAAUGUUCCUCUGGAAAUUUACUCAAAAGACUAAUUUCAAACACUUAUUCACGAUGCGAGAAUAUGUUUUAGAACAAAAUAUCUUUCUACAAUUAAUGUUCAUACAGAACAAACAAGACUGGACAAAAAAGAUCCUGGCAGCAGGUCAAGAUAAAAUAUAAAAACAUUUUGCAGGUUCGUAGUUUGAAGAUGGUGUGGAAAUGACUUACAAGAUGCCUGCUCACAUAUUUUAACAUAUAUGGCUGUAUGCUGUUUGUUAAAAGUGCGAGAUCUUUCCCGGACCGGUCGCAAUAAAGGUACGAGGAUGUAUUGUACAGUUCGGGAUACGGGUGUCUGCAGGACGAUGGGGAGCAUCGCGCCGCAGCAAAUAUAAUUUUAGAGUCCUGAAUUACAUUCAGCUUAGGGCCCUUUGCCGCCCUACGCGGCGCUCUUGGGGCUGGAUCGAGUCUCGAGAGGCGCCGUUUUAACAACAUAACAAGAGCAACCACGAGCAGCCCGGACGUUUAGCUAGCUAGUUAGCUACGCGCUAACGCCAUGUUCAGCUUCCAUGCUCCGUUUUUAAAUCAACGGGGACAGAAUCGAGCAUGGACAGAUACGUGAGUAAGGGACAUGAAGAAAAAGAAAACUCUUAUCGCAUUUCACUUUGUAAUUGUAUUUAUGUAAAUAUGAAAUAUUUUUGGGAAUUUUGAAACUCGAGCCAGUUGAUUCUUUCGGCUUGGACAAAGAGAGAAGGGAGCUGAGCCUUGGUUCUUCUGAUCGACCCACACAUUUAAGGAGUAGAACACAGAAGGAUAAGGGGAGAAGGUGAAUGGUGCUGAAAUCAUGCUUUAUUAAAUCAGAAAUACAUUAAACUCAAGGAGGAUGAGGUACAGAUAUUCAGAUAAAUCAAAGUGCAGGGCCUCUCGUCUUCUCUCAGGAGAUGGUGUCGCUGUGGAGAACAAAGACUACCCUGAAACCACUAAAAGCUACACACACAACACUCUGAACACACAAACUCAAGAUUAGCUAGCUAGACAUCCUCCAAGAGGAAGCGGUGCUCCUUAAACUAAAAUAAACCCGCUGCUGGACGGCGGCGAAGCGACUUGUGCCGCUCGCGCCCCGCCGCCGUCCUGGCGUCAGUCGGUUGGAGCUCUAGACGCCGCUAAACGUGAGGGUACGCAAACGGCGCCUGGGGCCUUAACACUAGCGGUGCGACUCGUAGGAAAGUUUAAUAAAUAUGUGUGCCGCUCGCGGGGGAGCGCGUGGGGACCUUUGUCGUGGUGUAACGUCGUCGGGGAGCCUCUCGACCCGCCGAGGCAGCUUCAGACUUCAACGUGUGGUUGAGGCGCAGUUUAGUUUCUCCGUCUGACGGGGUAUUCAUUCCUUGAGGAACUUUCUCCCGUCAAACUACACUUAGUUUCACUUAGUUUCAGUUCAUAUAUUAUUGUCAUAAAUAACAAUGCAUACAUUUCCCAUAACCGUUCAAUUCGGCUAUAUACAUUAUGUACAUGUCAGAAAAGUUGUUUAAAAAUCUUUUAAAAGCCUUAAUUGUCCAAUAUAACACAUUUUAUAACAACAUUAGACUUGAGUCUAGUUUGGCAUAAAUUAAUGUCAAGUUUGGUGCAAAAAUAGUUCAUAUUUACAAGAACAGGAAUCCAGAGCUUUACUAUGUAGGUUAUCGUUGCUAAUUCACUAAAUAAAAGGUUCUGGUUGAGGGAGAAAAACUGGGGGGGAAUAAUAAAUUCUUUUUUUUUCUUCACAUGGAGCGGACGUGCACAUUGACAGUGGCGGAGGCAGAGCCGAGCUCGUUGGAGAGCCGAAGGGUGUAGGCGCCGCCGUCGGCCUCCUUCACCGCAGAGAUCACCAGGGUGGAGAGGUCGGUGCCGGUCUCGACACGGCACCGGCCGUCCCUGUCAGGGAGGGGCUGCCCCGAGCGGACCCACUGGACCGAAGGUGCGGGAUCUCCAGAGAAAACCCCAGCCACGCUCAGGGGCUGGCCCGGCUCGGUGCUGACGUCCCGCGGGAGGUUCUCAAUCUUCGGGGGGGCGCCUGGAGACGAGGAGGAGGAUGAGGUCAGAGGUCAAGAAUUCAAAUGUGUGAACAAGAGCUUAAUUAAAAUAAUCAUAAGAAAAAGAUAAUUAUUAACCUUAUUAUUAACUGUCUUUAAUGCAGUCUUAUCGGUUAUCUUACUGUUGAACACUAUAAUUUAACAUGUAAUGAAUCAUAAGAAUAAUAAGAGUAAUUUUCUCAUCAUCACCUGCAAAUUUGGUGGCAUUUGGAUAACUGGAGAAAAAAAAAAUCUUUCUGGCGGCCUUUUUUUUGGUUUGUUUGUUUGACCAGUUUCUUAACUGUUAUCAUAACUUCAUGUUCACUGAGUCCCAUCUUAUGGAAUGAGUCAAUAACCUACUACAUUAGCAUUGGUUAUUGUUUAUAAUUCUUCAUAACCAUCACUGAAUAUUUAUUUUUAAAAUAUUACAAACAUUUAUUUUUUAUGACUUGAACCCUUGAUGCAAAAGUUUCAGAAUCCAGUUGAUGAUAUGAGCCUUAUUGUUAAAUGAGCAGGACUCAUUAUCACCUCUUUACUCACAAACAUCUCUACAUCCUGUUAUUUCGAAUCAAAGUAACCAUACACAUGGAAGCAUCUCACCUCGUUUGAGCCUCAGUGAGGAGGAGGAGGAGGAGGAGACAUCGGCAUGCGAGUGAGCAGACAUUUCCAUGACGUGGCUGCUGGAGCUCAUGGACACCACUGACUCAGCCGUCAUGGCCGACAUGCUAGACGCAGACAUGCUUUGAUACGAAUACUCGGCCGCCCCCGUCAGAACGGAAGAGUUCGAUAUACUUUCCUGCAUACUUGCAGCAGAAACUCUUUGUUCCACAAUUAGCAUUUGUGUUGGUUCUUCAACAAGAGCUGCAAGGAUGCAAAAGGACAAACACAUUUCUCACAUCACAAUGUCCACGAGUUCACGGGCGGAUCGAAAGCUAGGGGGCUCAAGCUCUGUCCUUUGAGUGGAAUGUUAAGGGUUUCUUUGGUGUAGGGCAGACGACAUGUUAGACACAGAGUGUGUAACCGUGUUAGUUUAGACGCAGCAGAAACUCACUGGUUACGCUGAGAGAGGACGUCGCGGAGCACUGCCCGAACUGAUUGGUGGCUUUUAUGGUGUAUUUCCCACUGUCUGCCACCGUGGCUUCACAGAUCUCCAGAGUGUGCACAGCCAGGGACGUGCUCAGUCUCACGUUGGACGACACAGAUAUCUGCAAAGAGAAAGUUGUGUUCACUAUUUCUCUUUAAAUAAAUUUACCCAAUAAAUAGACCACAAAUUACUUUCAGUAGACUACUCACCGUCAUGUUGUCUUUUAACCACUCCACCUUGGGGGAAGGAUCUCCUACAAGUUCACACGUGAAUUUGACUCGUUGGCCCUCGUUGACGUUCUGGGAUCUGGGCCGAACCAGGAUCUGUGGCGCGUCCGACUGCUCGGACACGACCGUCCUAUCAAAUGGACAAUGGACCUUCGCCUCCUCCACAGCGGACAGGACCUCAUCGUGGACUAUUUCCUGUUUCAUGACUUCCUCUGAGACUUCCGCUUUGGUGUUGCAGCUUUUUGAGCCUGAAGAGGGGAAAUAAAUGGAAGCGUUAGGAAACAAUCAGAAUGCUUUAAGCUGCAGGGUUUAUUCGGGCUACUUGCUUCCACCAGCAAGUGUGUUCCUACCUUGUACAGUGACUGUGCAGCUGGUCGACACUACUCUAGCACCAUUGCUGGCGGUGCACUUGUACAGCCCGCUAUCAGAGACCUCCAUUUCAUAGAUCUCCAGAUAAGCUGAGCCAUGCUUCUCAAAAAUGUCAUACUUUCCUCCCUGAGACAAAGCCUGUAAAUCGUGACAAUAUGAUUCAGUUACUCACCAACUCAAAUGACACUUUUGUAUAUGAACAGUAGAACAUUUUAAAUGGUUAUAAUCAGUUACCUCUCCAUCCUUCAUCCAUGAGAUGGUGGGUUUGGAAUCUCCUGUCACCUUCACAGAGAGCUUGACGAUGGAGUUGGAGGCGGCAGUGACGUCGCUUAGCCCGACGGAGAAGGACAGCUUCGUCUCGAGAGUUGGUGACAUCACGCUCUUUGGUGACUUGAUUGGAGAAGUGCACCAUUCCUUCUCGGUUGGAGUUGGGGAUUUGGGAGUUGGGGACUUUGGUGAGACCGGUGACUUGAUUCUCUGAGGUGACUUAAUUGGUUCGGGAGACUUGACCCUUAGAGGAGAUUUCACCGGUUCAGGGGACUUUGUAAGAGGCGACUUUGCCUCUGGGGAGGUGAUCCUGGGAGGGGCGACCACCUUCUCCAUGGACUCAGACUUGCGAAUGGCCAGAGAGAAUUGGGUCUCUUGUUUGCCUCCGGCAUUUUCCACCAGCAGAGUGUAGCUGCCUUCAUCUGACGCCUCAACAGCUGAGAUCUCGAAAGAAGAGUUGUACUGAGUGGAGACAAUGUGAUGUCGGACAGAGGAACCAAUAACUUCUCCUUCGUGCAGCCAGGUGAUAGAAGGUGCUGGCUCGCCAUCCACAUCGCACUCAAACCUGGCGAGACUUCCCUCCUCCACAGUCAGGGAUUGGGGCUUGCUCAGGAUCUUGGCAGGAACACUAGACUUUUCAACAACGGUGGUGGACUUUUUCAAAGUUUCAGUAGAACUUUCCUUAACCAUUGUCUGAGAGGAGGAGACGUGAUAAACCUCUGUUCUGGUCAUUUCUGGCAAGUGGGAGGAUGGAGGCUCCUCGUCUUUGCGGAAUGAAGAGAAGGCAGCAUAUUCUGCUCCUGCUACAUCCAAUGUGGCAUAGUCAGAAGUUUCCCCUUUGGCAUUCUUGCAAACCACGCGGUAAGUGCCGGAGUCUUCAGUCUCACAGUUGCUGAUCUUGAGAGUCAGAACCCCAUUGAUGUUAGUCAUGUGGUAUUUGCUGGUCUGAUGGAUCUCUUUGUCAUUGUGGAACCACUUGACCUGAGGCUCUGGUUUGGCCUGGAUAUUCAGGGUGAAUUUUGUGACGGAGCCGUGAGGUACUCGAUGAGAUCGCAGCCUGAUUGUAAUACGUGGGGUGUGGUCAAGGCUGAAUGGAGGCUGUGUCCCCACCUUAAUGGUCCUCUCCACCGAUCUUCUCUCUAAUCUUAGAGCCUGCUUUCUCUCCUCAUACCUGGAGGCAAAGUCCACCUCAGGAACGGUCACUUCAGUCUUGGCAGCCUGAUCUGGGGUCGUAGUUCUUCUGACAGGUUCAGGUAUUUGGAGCUUCUUGAUUGGUUUAGGAACAUAUUCGCGGGUGAAAGAUGUCAGGUGCUCAGAUUCAAUGGCCUCAGAGAAUUUUGCUAAAGUGUUGGUUGAUUCUUUUUUUAAUGUCCGAGUCUUCUCCUCAAACUCCAUGCGCUUGAUUUCACUCUUGUAAGCGGACAUUCUCUGAGCGGUUGUGUGUGGGCGCAGCAGCUCCUGUUCCUCCCUCUCAUCAUACACCUUCUGAUUCUGUCUUGGAGCUUUGUAUGUGGCUUUGUCGUGACGCUGGCGGAGGUCAACAAAACUUGUGCCAGCAUCGUAUUUAGACGGAAUCCGGUAGGAGUCAUAUCUGUAGAUUUUGUCUUCCUCUGGGUCAUCACUGUAGACCUUUCUCGGAGAGGAAGGACGCAGGGCGGACAGUUCAAAGCGAACAGGACUGUGCCUCGGUGGAGAAGCCGAGAAACCAAGCUCCAGCUCUUCCUCCAGACGCAGCCUCUCCUCCUCAGUUCUCUUCAUGGACAGGUAUUCAUUCACAGGAAGCAGUAGCUCCUCGUCCGACAGGUCGCCCAGGGACCUCCUCCUGAUCCUGUGGUAGGCCUCCAUCUCAGGGGAAGGGGUGCGAUGCCUUGCAGGCCUCACAGUCUCCAAGUCAUCCUGAGUCAAGAGCGAGAUGCGCCAUUUAGGCUUAUAGUGGUCCUUAAUCCGGAUGGGCACCUCGUAGAACUGCUCCCACCUGGAGAGGCGGAUACGCUUCAUUCUCUUCUGCUUGAUUUUAUCCAUAGGCUCAGGGAACUCGUACUGAUCCCGCAGUGUCUUGUACCAUUUCAUGUCAGAGAGUGGCUGGAAGUGUUUUAUUUCUAUAUCCUCCUCAAGAGCCGCUGGGUUCAUGACCCGAGGAGGCGGCACGUCAUAGGGCAUACGCAGCCUCUUCUCAUCAGCCCGUUUCUUCUUCUCCUGUUUUUCUUUCUGUAUCUCAGCCUCGGUCUUCUCGCCCUUCUUAGUCGUCACAGCGGGUUUGAACAUGGUGGCUGCCUCCCUGACAGCUUGCACUGCUGCCGGUGGUAAAGGUAUGAAAACGGUGUCGGCCAAAAUCUGUGACAGACGAACCUUCUUAUCUAACUCCAUCUUCCCAGCCAUUAACUUCUUCUCCUUUUCACUGGGCUCAUAUUCCUUCUUCACAUGGGUGACCCGUUCUACUUUGAGUGUUGCCUGGCAACUAGCAGAUCCAGCCGAAUUGGUCGCAGUCACUCUGUACACACCAGAGUCCUCGGAGAGAGUAUCUCUCACAUGAAGGAUAAAGUAAUCCAGACCCUCGUGCACAACCUCAAUAGAUGGUCCGAAGGCUAAAGGCAUGCCAUCCUUCUCCCACUUCAGGACAGGAUGGCCCGAUACUCUAAUCUCAAAGCGUACAUUCUGGCCCUCUCUGCACUCGACAUUUGCGAGCAGACGUUUGAACAUGGGCCUCAGGGUGAGGUCUGCCGGUUUAGGUCGAGGAACAACGGUAAGGCGGGCCUUGCAGCUGUCGUCCCCAAACCUGUUACGGGCCACAACGCUGUACUCUGCAUCAUCCUCAUUCUCAAGUUUGUGGAUAAUCAUUUGGUACAGACCCUUGUCGCUGAUGAAAGUGUAUUUUUUGUCAUCUUCUCCAGGGAUGAGCUUCUGUCCGGAUUUGUGCCAGACGACACGCGGUUCAGGGUGAACGGUGAUGGUUACGCUAAAGCGCACAUCCUCACCAAUGUAGGAUGUGCGAUUGACCAGAGGAAGGGUGAACUCCGGUGGCUUCUGAAGCAUUCUGGCAGUGUCGACUCUGCGCUUUGUCUUUUUGACGACUCGGGUGGUGAAGAAAUCACGGUAAGAUCUAACGCCGUUGACGAACAGCUCUGCAUAAGCACUAUCCUCACCAUACUCAUUUACGACCUUACAUCUGUACGUGCCGUCAUCUGCUCUUGUGACCUUGUUGAUGGUGAUCACAGCCAGGCCAUCCUCAUACUCGGUUUCAUACUUGUCACCAGCCUCAAGCUGCCUGACGCCACAGUACCAGGUCACUUCAGUCGUGCUAUCGUAGUUUUCAAUGUUGCAGAUGAAUUUCACAAUGUCUCCCUCAUUCCCCACUACAUGACCGACCUGGCCUCCAACAGGACCGUGUUCAAACGGCGCGAUCUUCACCUUGGAGACGAAGACGCCACGCUGGGACCUGAUGGAGCCUCCGCUGGCCAAGCGAGCUGCAGAGACAACAGUUUUCCACUCUUUCCUCACCAUUGUCUGGUAGUACCUCUUGUGUCUUACGGUCUGGAUGGCCCUGGUGCUGAUCUCCUCUGCGGGUUUGGUUAACCACGCAUGUGCCAGAGCCUCAGCAGCAGACAUACGAUGCUUUCGUUCCUUUGUCAUCAAGCGAUCGGUAAAGUCUAAUGCAUCAACACUGACCUGCUUGAAGGACUCAUCGUCGUAGCUAUAAGCAGCGUUUGAGAUGUUGUCAAUCAUCUGUUGGUUGGUCUCAGCUGUGAAUGGAUUCAGUCCACUGAGGAGCACAUAGGCGAGGACACCAACCGACCACAUGUCAGUAACGGUGCUAACCAUGUCAGACUGGUGGAUCUCAGGGGCAGCAUACUCUGCAGUGGUAUACUGGAUCUUUAUUUGGUCUCCAGGAGUCAGGUGUCUGGACUGGCCCAACUCAAUAAUCUUUACAUUACAGCUGGUUCUAGUUGUGUACACAAUGUUUUCUGGUCUGAUAUCAAAGUGACCAAAGCUCUCAGCAUGCAGAAACUCAAGCGCUGAGCAGAUCUGCCUGAUGUAAUUAGUAAUCUCCCGCUCAUUAAGCUCAAAAUCAGCUGUGUUGAGGCGCUCGAAAAUGUCAACGCCAGAGAUAAAGUCAUAGAUCAUCACCAGCUCCUCAGGGCUUUCGAAAGACUCGUGGAGGAGAAGGUAGUUGGUAUGUUCGGCAAGAUUCAAUGUGGCGAUUCCUUCUUGACAAUUGCUUGAUCGGCGCCUCUCACCUUGAAGAAUUUAGCCAUGUAGGUCUUCUCAGAGCUAAUGUUAACACAGCGGUGGACAAUGGCAAACUGACCUCUGCCCAAUUCCUCUGCAAUGGCAUAUUUGUUGUGCAUGUUCUUGGCCUCAGAGUGAACCUUGCCCCUGGGGACGUGGCCACUGUCGUCAACCUCCCUAUCAUAGAGCAGAACUCUUGAUUUGUCCUCUUUGGUCAUCACUGGUCCACUGGACUCAGAUGGAGCACUUUGUCCAAAUUUAUUCUCGGCGAUAAUUCUGAACUGAUAGCUGGUACCUCCAAAGAGAUUGAUCACUGUAUAGUGGGUGUCACGGGACUGGGCAACACGCUCCCACCGCUCGGCAGUGGUGGGGCACUUCUCAAUGAUGUAGCUAAUGACCCUGCUGCCUCCGUCGUUGGCCGGGGCCACCCAGUUCAGCGUGACCGAGUCUCUGGAGACGUCACUGGCUUGGACUCCACGCGGAGGAUCGGGAACGUCGGCUACGUCCAGCUCGACCGUUUGCUGGUCAAUGCCGAAUCUGUUCUUGGCGCAGACAAUGUAGAAACCGGCAUCCUUCUUCUCGACUCCAUUGGUAAACACCAAAGAGGUAAACGAUCUGGUGACAAUGACCUGGUAGUGGCCAUUGCUGUCAAUAAGAUCUUGUCCCUUCUGCCAUGUGAUGACAGGAUCUGGUUUGCCACUGAAAGGAAUCUUGAUGUUGAUCAGCUCUCCACGCAGGGCAGGGAUGGCUUCUUUGUCCUUCAGGUUCUUCGGGAGGUGAAUCUUGGCAGGGACUG